rnacentral:rRNA from 1 species
UGGGGAAUUUUGGACAAUGGGCGAAAGCCUGAUCCAGCAAUGCCGCGUGUGUGAAGAAGGCCUUCGGGUUGUAAAGCACUUUUGUCCGGAAAGAAAUCCUUGGCUCUAAUACAGUCGGGGGAUGACGGUACCGGAAGAAUAAGCACCGGCUAACUACGUGCCAGCAGCCGCGGUAAUACGUAGGGUGCAAGCGUUAAUCGGAAUUACUGGGCGUAAAGCGUGCGCAGGCGGUUUGCUAAGACCGAUGUGAAAUCCCCGGGCUCAACCUGGGAACUGCAUUGGUGACUGGCAGGCUAGAGUAUGGCAGAGGGGGGUAGAAUUCCACGUGUAGCAGUGAAAUGCGUAGAGAUGUGGAGGAAUACCGAUGGCGAAGGCAGCCCCCUGGGCCAAUACUGACGCUCAUGCACGAAAGCGUGGGGAGCAAACAGGAUUAGAUACCCCUGGGUAGUCCACGCCCUAAAACGAUGUCAACUAGUUGUUGGGGAUUCAUUUUCUUAGUAACGUAGCUAACGCGUGAAGUUGACCGCCUGGGGAGUACGGUCGCAAGAUUAAAACUCAAAGGAAUUGACGGGGUCAUAGCUG